GGUGUGGCCCCUUUAAGGGAGUGGCUCUUCCCGGGCCAAUGAGGCUCUUUCUCCCACAGCCUGGAGCAGAGAGACAGGUCCUUUUGCUUUCUCUUCCUUCGCAUCUGCAAGCUGUUUCCUCCUCUUACUGAUCCAAGCCUCUUGCAUGCAGCCUCUGAACAUACGCAGAGUGCUUUUCUCACCUCCUGCUGCAGGACUGAUGCAGUUUGACCACGUGAGAAGAAAGUUUUCAGCAGCCAGAGGAAGAAGUGACUUCCCUCCUAUCUACAAGGUAAAGGGGUUUGGAGGGGUUAGAGGUCUCAGGGGCCUUGGAAACCAGAAGAAGAUUUGGGGUUUAGAGGAAAGAUUGUUGGCAAGGGAAAUUACAAAUACUGUAGGUGGAGGGAAAGUAUCUGCCACUUCUGGCCUUAAUAUGAACUCAGCCUGAAGCCAUUUAACUAUUUAGCCUGUACUGUGGUUUCUGAACUGAUUUUGCCUUUGCUGAAAAAAAGGCUAGUAGCUAGAGAGAUUCUCUUUGCUCUGUCUCAUUUUGCAGUCAUGUCAGUAUUUCUGGACAUCUGUGAUAUAAAUGAAGACAAAAUUCAGCUACCUUCUAAGGAGUGGGCUGAGAAUCCAGUAGCCAGUGUGCCCUGCUACUUUGCCGACCAGAUCAACAUGCAAGUUAGGUUUGAAGGCAAUAGAAACAGAAGUUUAUUACUUUCAGACCUGAAAGGAUGUCUGAUACAGAGUCUUCACUCAAAAAGAAUUGGACAUAACCAUACAAUACAGUGCAAAACAUUUUAUCCGCUUUGACAGCUAUUCAAAGAGAAUAGGUAAAAGGUUAACGACCCCCCUCCCCCAACGGAAUAUAUAGUUUUGGGCUGGGCUGCUGGAAAUGAAGUAUGUUGUGGAUUGGGGAAAUGUUGAUACUUAUAUAGUAAAACUUCAUGUAAGGCAAAAAAAAUAUAAUAAAAUUCAUAUUGGCUUUGGAACUCAUGUUGAGUUUAUCUUUUUUUUGGGGGGGGGGGUCACUUUUUCGACAACAUAAACUCAGAGUUUUAUUUCAUGUGUCUUUCCUGCUUAUGAUUCUGGUGUAUUAGAGUUGAUGGGACUUCUUUCCAAUCUUUAAAAACUUACCUUGAAGGACAGGGGUGGAAGCAGAGAAAGAAACCACAUUCUUAAUGUUGCUGCCAGGGAAUAUGGGAAAUGCAGUUUGCAGUGCAUAGCUACUUCCAGUGCUCCUGUUUACAGCUGUUCAUUUUGAUGAAGCCAAAAGAAGAGGAAAUGGUCAGUGGCAGCAAAGGCUACUGUUGAGCAAACUCAUUAUGAAUUGAGUAUGAACUCGAUAAGAUCAAUUUGCGAUUAGCUCUAUUGUUCAUCUCCCUCAUUCUAAAUUUUAGUACCAGUCAAAAAAGCUCUAUCCAUGCAGAGUUUUAGAUCAUUUUUCCUGCCCCUUGAAAGGUCAUGAUGCUAUACCCAUUCAUGUCACUGCUACUGACCCACAAAACUUUUAAUGCUAUGUCCAUACCUUAAUUGAAUGUACAUGGAAGCAGAUUUGUUAAGGGAUAUGAAGAGAAGCUAAAGUAAAUUUUGGCACUAACAUCAAAUUCUGAGUAACCUAAUUGGGUUGCUUUGACACGCCAGUUAUUAAAUGAAUAUAUCAUAGCUAGGAAGACAGUGUUAUCAUCACAGUGAUUGCUCUAAAUAGAUCAGUCUGUUCUUAUCUUGUAUACAUUCAGGCUCUGUUAGAAAUGUCACAGACUUAUUUGCAUUUCAUGGCCUUUUGCCCCUACUGUUUUCAGUUCUUCUUCACUCUGUAUCAAACCCAUGUGUAUAUAUCUCUACCAGCGGAAGAUAACACUUCUUGCAUUUGAACACUUGGGACACAGGAAACCCGUUAAUCUUUGAAAUGUCACAAGACUGUUGUUUUUGCUGCAACAGAUUAACAACAGCUAUACUUCUGGAAUGCAUAAUACCAAUUACAACUUUUCUCUAACUCCUCCUUACAGUUCUGUCAUCCAUCAAGAUAUUUACAAAUCUUCUACAAUAUGUAUUGUCAUUGUGUUACAACCUGGAAUUGUGUUCAAAAGCAAUUAUCUGGCACUAGCAGAAAAGGUCUUCCAACCUGAAGUUAUUGUUUUGUUCACUUCUUUACAGUAGGUUCCAGAUGUCUUUGCCAAGUUGUUCACAAAACUGUUUCUGAGUCUGUUUUCAAAGCUUUGCUCAGAAUACUUGGCUUUUGCUUUUUCUGCUCUUUCUUUUAUGUUCCUCUUUUCUUCAGCAGUCUGUCACAUGCCCCUUUAGCUUAAAAUUCCCCCAAACUUCAGUUUCUCUGUUUCUUACCUACUUUCCCUUUGGUAGGCUGAUAUCAAUGUCUGUAUAAAGGUAUUAUAUCUCCCUGAAAUAUUUGUUUUGUUUUUCUGUAUUCAUUGUUGGAAGGCUGAGCGAAAGAAGAUAGACGCUUUUGAACUUUGGUGCUGGAGGAAAAUCCUGAGAGUGCCUUGGACCGCAAGAAGAUCCAACCAGUCCAUCCUCCAGGAAAUAAUGCCCGGCUGCUCACUGGAGGGAAGGAUAUAGGAGGCAAAGUUGAAGUAUUUUGGCCACAUCAUGAGAAGACAGGAAAGCUUGGAGAAGAUCAUGAUGCUGUGGAAAAUGGAAGGAAAAAGGAAGAGAGGACGACCAAGGGCGAGAUGGAUGGACGGCAUCCUUGAAGUGACUGGCUCGACCUUGAAGGACAGUGACAGCCGACAGGGAGCUCUGGCGUGGACUGGUCCACGAGGUCACGAAGAGUCGAAAAUGACUGAACGAGUGAGACGACGAUGAUUAAUUGUUGGAAUGGGACAGGAGUGGCUAAAUACCCUCAAGGAACCAGAUAAUGUCAGAUUUUGGUCAGCCCCAGUUAGUACUUGGAUAAGGAACUGCCAAUGAAUGCCAGGUGCUGUAGGUUUUAUUUCAAAGGGAGGAACUGACAAAACAACCUGUGAGUAUUCUUAGCCUAAGAAAGCCCUAUGAAAUUCAUUAAGUCACCAUAAGUUGACCAAACCUUGAAGGUACGUACACACACUGCAGGUAACUUAAAGCAUACCUAGCUGAAAGUAAUUCAUUGGAUAUUUCUAAAGAGGACAGAUGUGCUGGAACAGAAAUGUAUAUAAUUGAUCAUUGGACUAAUAUUUUCAUUGGACCAUCUGGAUGUUGAAAGCAUUUGUAGUUUGUUUCUGUCCAUUUGCAUGCUCUAACGUCUGCUAUCUAAUUGUAAAAGUAAAGAAAUGGUAAAACAUUAUUAAUUUGAUUAUUUAUUUAUGUAUUUGAUAUCUUACCUUUCUCUUGUGACAGAACCCAAGAUGUCUUACAUUAAAUUAAUAACAAAAACACUAAAAACUAUUUAAUAUAAAUUAGUUAACUUAGUUAAAACAUUAAAUAAAAAGUUUCAUUACAAACACCAAAUUAGAACAAUUAAAACACAUUAAAGUACAGCAUGGCGCAGUGGUUUGAGCAUUGGACUAUGACUCUGGAAACCGGGGUUCAAUUUAGCUAUGGAAACCCACUGGGUGAUCUUGAGCA
rnacentral:lncRNA from 11 species